rnacentral:lncRNA from 1 species
GGAAUCUGGUGCAAAGUGCAAAGACUAUAGUUUGGUCUACAGUUGCUUUCAAGGAGGUGGAUGCCGGUUCUGGUUUAUCUUUUUAACUUUAGUUGGAUCUGAGGAGAAAACCAAGGCAAUUUGUUGAUCUAGGAAAUACUUGCAUUUGAACCUGUUUCUGGAGGGUUAGAAGGAACACUUAUAUUACCCUGUUAUUUAUUUUUGCGUUUUUGUUCUGAAAGGCGGCCUUGCUUCCUCUCUCGCUCAUUCCGUAUUUAUUUGGUCGAGUAGCCUAGGUAAAAAUGUACUGCACAUUGGUAUCAUUUCGGUGGGUAUCAUCUGGUGGUUAUCAUCUAUAUAUAAUGAGCUUACUGUAAACUAUAUUCAAUAGUUGCCUCCUUUAGCUUUUAAUAUCUUGUGAUUAUGCUUCGGUUUGUUGCAUGGUUAGGUGAAUAUUUGCCUGAUCAGUUUUCACCUGACAACGUAUUGCUAAGAUUCUUUUACAUGUUAUAAAGGUAACACUAUUAUCAGUUGUAUAUGGUUUGUUUUGUCACUAGGUGCGGUAACUUAACUUAAGUUGCAUUGUCAUGUAUUCAGGUAUGAGAACCAUGCAUUCGAUACAAUCUAGGUAGGAUUGCAUUAUUAUCUUCAGGGUACUUAGCAUUAUGUCAUGGAAUUGGGGGGACCCUUCCUUGGCAUUAAUUUGCUUGCUGAGAGGAAGCAUUGUUGAGCAUAUUAUCAGUUUAAUUCCUCCACCUACAGUUGAACACUUGAACUGUGUUCUUAGGUUUAUGGUUGGUACCAGAGCUGAAAUAAUUGUUGUCUUCGUCCCUUAAAUAAGCGGCUGUGGGGCUGUAUGGUAAUCUAACCCUGCUAGCAGAAAUUAAGGUGUGAUGGUAGGGUUUCCUGUCGUCAUAAAUGUAGCCUGAAACUCCUGGUGCUGGUCGCUUGCUUUUUUCUUUUUCUUGGUGAAGUAUCUAUGUUUAGCCAUAUUAAACAUUAUGUACUGAUCACUCAAGUGGCAAACUGAAAGCGGCAUAAAUAGUUUAUCUUAUGGUAGAAGGAUAAUCUUAGCCAUAUUUAACCAUACCGAUAAAGCAAGUUGCAAACUGAUAGCGGCAUAAAUAGUUUUGCCUCAUAGAAGGUUAAUCUUAUGCCUAAAAACUCCGGCGACUUGUUCUUGGUAGGAUGUCUGUUGUCAGGGUACUGCUAGGAUAUGAUCACGGAGAUUUGCAUAAUUUUGUUCUUUUUACUUGGGUAGCUUUGUUUUCAAACCAUGAUAUGCAUAAUAUAGUUUCUUACUUGGUUAGCAUUGCCUGUAGCCACAAAGCCACUAUGGGGUGUGCGUACUUCAACUGAACUGCAUAAUAGGCUGGUGCUGGUGUUCGGCAACCCUCCGUUAGCCGCUCGCCGAAAUGUAACUGCAUGCCGCUCCGCUCCACAGCAGAGUUUCAGAGCGGAGGGAUUCCAAACAGCCCCUUGGUUGGCACCAGUUCCAGAUUUCAGAUUUCAGAUAUGUUGGUACCACAAUUUCGGGGAGUUGCGUUGUGGAACUGUGGGGCAGAGCAACACGAUGUUGGUGCUUGCGUUAUCUGAAUGAAUGCUGGGGCAAGGCAACUGGGUCCUAGGAUUGCGUAGGAGCAAAUCGCUCGCCCUGUUUGGUGCACGCCACGCCGUGCCGCGAGACAGGUUGUUUAUGUGCGACACCACGCAAUCUUUGCUCCUUCUGCAAUUAUUUUAGAAGUAAAGCGCGUGUGGGCAUGAGCAUUUGGAGGGUCCAUGCUUCGAGGCCUAGUGCGUGGGCUGCCAUAUCCCUUCCAACGCAAGGCAAAGUGCCAACGGCUAACUCAACAUGUUGUUCUUUGUGCCAAAUUCAGUUUCCUGUCUUGUGCUUAUCGCGUACUAUUUUUUAAUCCAAAGGUAAUAACCCUACACUCAAAUAAACCAACGGAACUGGGGCAGCGAGAAGCCGAAACUGGAGCAGCGAAAAGCCGUUUUGGACAUGUCCUCUUCGGCCAUAAAAAAUUGAUCAAACCCCGCAUUACCAUCAAGAAAGCUAAUGACCUACCCAGCAAAAAAAAAA